UGGGGAAUAUUGGACAAUGGGCGAAAGCCUGAUCCAGCCAUGCCGCGUGUGUGAAGAAGGUCUUCGGAUUGUAAAGCACUUUAAGUUGGGAGGAAGGGCAGUAAUCGAAUACCUUGCUGUUUUGACGUUACCGACAGAAUAAGCACCGGCUAACUCUGUGCCAGCAGCCGCGGUAAUACCGAGGGUGCAAGCGUUAAUCGGAAUUACUGGCCGUAAAGUGCGCGUAGGUGGUUCGUUAAGUUGAAUGUGAAAGCCCCGGGCUCAACCUCGGAACUGCAUCCACAACUGGCGAGCUAGAGUAGGGCAGAGGGUGGUGGAAUUUCCUGUGUAGCGGUGAACAGCGUAGAUAUAGGAAGGAACACCAGUGGCGAAGGCGACCACCUUGGCUCAUACUGACACUGAGUUGCGAAAGCGUGGGGAGCAAACAGG
rnacentral:rRNA from 1 species